GUAAGAGGAAAAUCCGUCGAAUUUUUAAAUCGUGAGGGUUCAAGUCCCUC
rnacentral:tRNA from 7 species